rnacentral:rRNA from 1 species
AUUGAACGCUGGCGGCAUGCCUUACACAUGCAAGUCGAACGGUAACGCGGGGCAACCUGGCGACGAGUGGCGAACGGGUGAGUAAUAUAUCGGAACGUACCCAGUAGUGGGGGAUAGCCCGGCGAAAGCCGGAUUAAUACCGCAUACGACCUACGGGUGAAAGCGGGGGAUCGCAAGACCUCGCGCUAUUGGAGCGGCCGAUAUCAGAUUAGGUAGUUGGUGGGGUAAAGGCCUACCAAGCCGACGAUCUGUAGCUGGUCUGAGAGGACGACCAGCCACACUGGGACUGAGACACGGCCCAGACUCCUACGGGAGGCAGCAGUGGGGAAUUUUGGACAAUGGGCGCAAGCCUGAUCCAGCCAUGCCGCGUGCGGGAAGAAGGCCUUCGGGUUGUAAACCGCUUUUGUCAGGGAAGAAAAGCUCUGGGUUAAUACCCUGGGGUGAUGACGGUACCUGAAGAAUAAGCACCGGCUAACUACGUGCCAGCCGCCGCAGUAAAAC